rnacentral:rRNA from 1 species
AGACCCGAAACCCGGUGAUCUAGCCAUGGGCAGGUUGAAGGUUGGGUAACACUAACUGGAGGACCGAACCGACUAAUGUUGAAAAAUUAGCGGAUGACCUGUGGCUGGGGGUGAAAGGCCAAUCAAACCGGGAGAUAGCUGGUUCUCCCCGAAAGCUAUUUAGGUAGCGCCUCGUGAAUUCAUCUCCGGGGGUAGAGCACUGUUUCGGCUAGGGGGCCAUCCCGGCUUACCAACCCGAUGCAAACUGCGAAUACCGGAGAAUGUUAUCACGGGAGACACACGGCGGGUGCUAACGUCCGUCGUGAAGAGGGAAACAACCCAGACCGCCAGCUAAGGUCCCAAAGUCAUGGUUAAGUGGGAAACGAUGUGGGAAGGCCCAGACAGCCAGGAUGUUGGCUUAGAAGCAGCCAUCAUUUAAAGAAAGCGUAAUAGCUCACUGGUCGAGUCGGCCUGCGCGGAAGAUGUAACGGGGCUAAACCAUGCACCGAAGCUGCGGCAGCGACACUCAGGUGUUGUUGGGUAGGGGAGCGUUCUGUAAGCCUGUGAAGGUGGCCUGUGAGGGUUGCUGGAGGUAUCAGAAGUGCGAAUGCUGACAUAAGUAACGAUAAAGCGGGUGAAAAGCCCGCUCGCCGGAAGACCAAGGGUUCCUGUCCAACGUUAAUCGGGGCAGGGUGAGUCGACCCCUAAGGCGAGGCCGAAAGGCGUAGUCGAUGGGAAACGGGUUAAUAUUCCCGUACUUGGUGUUACUGCGAAGGGGGGACGGAGAAGGCUAUGUUGGCCGGGCGACGGUUGUCCCGGUUUAAGCGUGUAGGUGUGUGUUCCAGGUAAAUCCGGUUCACUUUAACACUGAGGCGUGAUGACGAGGCACUACGGUGCUGAAGCAACAAAUGCCCUGCUUCCAGGAAAAGCCUCUAAGCAUCAGGUAACAUCAAAUCGUACCCCAAACCGACACAGGUGGUCAGGUAGAGAAUACCAAGGCGCUUGAGAGAACUCGGGUGAAGGAA